AUUAUGAGAAUUUUCCGAGUCUAUGCUUCUAAGGGUUAAACUAUGGAGCAUAGACCAUUAGGUAUAAGGAGAAAUCUUUAUGCCUCCCGUGUUUGGAAAGGAAAAUGUUAGUGAGUGGU
rnacentral:ncRNA from 2 species